UACGUAGGGCGCAAGCGUUGUCCGGAAUUAUUGGGCGUAAAGAGCUCGUAGGCGGUUUGUCGCGUCUGCUGUGAAAACCUAAGGCUCAACCUUGGGCUUGCAGUGGGUACGGGCGAGACUAGAGUGCGGUAGGGGGUGACUGGAAUUCCUGGUGUAGCGGUGGAAUGCGCAGAUAUCAGGAGGAACACCGAUGGCGAAGGCAGGUCACUGGGCCGCAACUGACGCUGGAGGAGCGAAAGCAUGGGGAGCGAACAGG
rnacentral:rRNA from 1 species